AACGAACGCUGGCGGCAGGCCUAACACAUGCAAGUCGAACGCCCUAGCAAUAGGGAGUGGCAGACGGGUGAGUAACACGUGGGAACCUUCCCUAUAGUACGGAAUAUACCAGGGAAACUUGGAGCAAUACCGUAUACGCCCGAGAGGGGAAAGGAUUUAUUCGCUAUAGGAUGGGCCCGCGUAGGAUUAGCUAGUUGGUGAGGUAAUGGCUCACCAAGGCGACGAUCAGUAUCCGGCC
rnacentral:rRNA from 1 species